rnacentral:rRNA from 1 species
GAUGAACGCUGGCGGCGUGCCUAAUACAUGCAAGUCGAGCGAACAGACGAGGAGCUUGCUCCUCUGACGUUAGCGGCGGACGGGUGAGUAACACGUGGAUAACCUACCUAUAAGACUGGGAUAACUUCGGGAAACCGGAGCUACUACCGGAUAAUAUAUUGAACCGCAUGGUUCAAUAGUGAAAGACGGUUUUGCUGUUACUUAUAGAUGGAUCCGCGCCGCAUUAGCUAGUUGGUAAGGUAACGGCUUACCAAGGCAACGAUGCGUAGCCGACCUGAGAGGGUGAUCGGCCACACUGGAACUGAGACACGGUCCAGACUCCUACGGGAGGCAGCAGUAGGGAAUCUUCCGCAAUGGGCGAAAGCUUGACGGAGCAACGCCGCGUGAGUGAUGAAGGUCUUCGGAUCGUAAAACUCUGUUAUUAGGGAAGAACAAAUGUGUAAGUAACUAUGCACGUCUUGACGGUACCUAAUCAGAAAGCCACGGCUAACUACGUG